GACGUAGGGCGCGAGCGUUGUCCGGAUUUAUUGGGCGUAAAGAGCUCGUAGGCGGCUUGUCGCGUCGACUGUGAAAACCCGUGGCUCAACCAUGUGGUCUGCAGUCGAUACGGGCAGGCUAGAAUUCGGUAGGGGAGACUGGAAUUCCUGGUGUAGCGGUGAAAUGCGUAGAUAUCUGGAGGAACACCGGUGGCGAAGGCGGCAUCCUGGACCGGUAUUGACGCUGAGGCGCGAAAGCCAGGGGAGCAAACGGG
rnacentral:rRNA from 1 species